CCCGGUAGUGAUAGGAGAGGAGAAACACCCGUUCCCAUUUCGAAUACGGAAGUUAAGCUCUCUACCGCCGAUGGUACUAUUCUGGUGACGGAAUGGGAGAGUAGGUAGCUGCCGGGU
rnacentral:rRNA from 1 species